GAUGAACGCUGGCGGCGUGCCUAAUACAUGCAAGUCGAGCGAACGGACGAGAAGCUUGCUUCUCUGAUGUUAGCGGCGGACGGGUGAGUAACACGUGGAUAACCUACCUAUAAGACUGGGAUAACUUCGGGAAACCGGAGCUAAUACCGGAUAAUAUUUUGAACCGCAUGGUUCAAAAGUGAAAGACGGUCUUGCUGUCACUUAUAGAUGGAUCCGCGCUGCAUUAGCUAGUUGGUAAGGUAACGGCUUACCAAGGCAACGAUGCAUAGCCGACCUGAGAGGGUGAUCGGCCACACUGGAACUGAGACACGGUCCAGACUCCUACGGGAGGCAGCAGUAGGGAAUCUUCCGCAAUGGGCGAAAGCCUGACGGAGCAACGCCGCGUGAGUGAUGAAGGUCUUCGGAUCGUAAAACUCUGUUAUUAGGGAAGAACAUAUGUGUAAGUAACUGUGCACAUCUUGACGGUACCUAAUCAGAAAGCCACGGCUAACUACGUGCCAGCAGCCGCGGUAAUACGUAGGUGGCAAGCGUUAUCCGGAAUUAUUGGGCGUAAAGCGCGCGUAGGCGGUUUUUUAAGUCUGAUGUGAAAGCCCACGGCUCAACCGUGGAGGGUCAUUGGUAACUGGAAAACUUGAGUGCAGAAGAGGAAAGUGGAAUUCCAUGUGUAGCGGUGAAAUGCGCAGAGAUAUGGAGGAACACCAGUGGCGAAGGCGACUUUCUGGUCUGUAACUGACGCUGAUGUGCGAAAGCGUGGGGAUCAAACAGGAUUAGAUACCCUGGUAGUCCACGCCGUAAACGAUGAGUGCUAAGUGUUAGGGGGUUUCCGCCCCUUAGUGCUGCAGCUAACGCAUUAAGCACUCCGCCUGGGGAGUACGACCGCAAGGUUGAAACUCAAAGGAAUUGACGGGGACCCGCACAAGCGGUGGAGCAUGUGGUUUAAUUCGAAGCAACGCGAAGAACCUUACCAAAUCUUGACAUCCUUUGACAACUCUAGAGAUAGAGCUUUCCCCUUCGGGGGACAAAGUGACAGGUGGUGCAUGGUUGUCGUCAGCUCGUGUCGUGAGAUGUUGGGUUAAGUCCCGCAACGAGCGCAACCCUUAAGCUUAGUUGCCAUCAUUAAGUUGGGCACUCUAAGUUGACUGCCGGUGACAAACCGGAGGAAGGUGGGGAUGACGUCAAAUCAUCAUGCCCCUUAUGAUUUGGGCUACACACGUGCUACAAUGGACAAUACAAAGGGCAGCGAAACCGCGAGGUCAAGCAAAUCCCAUAAAGUUGUUCUCAGUUCGGAUUGUAGUCUGCAACUCGACUACAUGAAGCUGGAAUCGCUAGUAAUCGUAGAUCAGCAUGCUACGGUGAAUACGUUCCCGGGUCU
rnacentral:rRNA from 1 species